rnacentral:misc_RNA from 1 species
UCUCCGUUGGUGAACCAGCGGAGGGAUCAUUACCGAGUUUACAACUCCCAAACGCAAUGUGUACCAUACCAAACUGUUGCCUCGGCGGGGUCACGCCCCGGGUGCGUCGCAGCCCCGGAACCAGGCGCCCGCCGGAGGGACCAACCAAACUCUUUCUGUAGUCCCCUCGCGGACGUUAUUUUUACAGCUCUGAGCAAAAAUUCAAAAUGAAUCGAAACUUUCAACAACGGAUCUCUUGGUUCUG